rnacentral:lncRNA from 1 species
GACUUUUAAGAGUUUUAGAUUUUAACCUGUUAGUAUAUAUAUUAGGAGCAGGGCUGCUGAGCUCUUAGGAGCACGGAGGCCUCCGUGCUCCUAAGCUGUUUUCGAUGAUGGAGUUUCCAAAUCGACGAUCGGUUCCGUUAAACUUGAUCUAGCGUAUUUAAGUUUCUAGAAAAUAAUUUUUGUGAUUUUUUGAUAUCAUUUACCUAGCAAUCAAAAGGAUUCAAAAUCAAUAAUUUUUAACGGCUGAAAAUAAAAAUCCUAUAAAAAGUGGUGAUAUAGCACUAAAAUUUUCGAUCAGAAAUAUUAAUUUUGUUGUAGAUAGAAUAAAAAAUUUUGUAUCAAAAUUUCAUUUGAUUUGAAUACUUCUACACCGUUAAACUUGAAAACGGCAGAUAUCAACCAUUAAAAAUUAUGAAUUUUGAAUCCUUUCGAUCACUAGGUAAAUGAUAUAAAAAAAUCGCAAAAGUUAUUUUCUAGAAACUUCAAAUGCGCUAGAUUAAGUCUAACGGAGCCGAUCGUCGAUUCGAAAAUUCCAUCAUCGAAAACGGCUCAAGAGCACGGAGGAGCACAGCAACCCUGCUCUAUAUAUUAGUGAAUUGGAUUAAUUUUGUACAAGUUCAUACAAAUAUAGUGAAUUGCAAAUAUAUUUCUACAAAGUUUCGUUAAAGCACUUUUUAUUUUAUAAGUGAAAUAACUUUUUCGUCAUCACAGAUAUAUCCCUCUAAAAGUUCCAACUGUUAGAGAGUGAUAAAAAGGUUAAAUCAUCUCAUUAACUAACUAUGAUUAAGUAUUUUACCUAUGGUUAAUUAAUUUUUUCUAAUGAAUUUUAACGGCAGGAACAUAUUUGAAAACAUUAGGACUUUUAUAGAGCAACAUAUAAAAGUUGAAUUUUGUAGGAAUAUAUUUGCAAUUCACUAUAUUUAUAGGAACCUAUCUAUACCUAUACAUUAUUUCUCCUAAUUUUUUGCCACGUGGCGAAUUCUCCUUCACUUUUUUCUUCUCUCAUCUAACUUUUUCAUCCAAUGUUUCAUCUUCCUAAACUCCCACCUCUCAAUUAAUGUGUUUACAUAAUAUCAUCUCCAUCCAAUGCUUCAUCUUUCUAACCCCCCACCCAAUGCUUCAUCUUCCUAAUCUCUAUAUCUCUCAAUUAAUAUGUUUACAUGGCUUCAUCUCCAUUUCUCCAUUUUUUUUUUCAUAUUAUUUUUUUUUCUCCCCUCCUAUCUCUCAAUUAAUAUGUUUACAUGAUUUCAUUUCCAUUUCUUCAUAUCUUUUUUUUCAUAUUGUUUUUUUUCUUUUUUUCUUAGCGCACAAAAAGGGCUCAUGUUUUAUAACUUUUUUUAAUUUUUUGUUGUGUGUGGAUUAAAAUUAGGGUUUCGAGGAUCGUGACGGAGCGCUGCAAAAGAAAACGGUGAUGGGUUUGGAGUCAGUGAGAGAGAAGAAGCAGAGGAUGUGGAUACGGGAUUGAUAUGGUCGUGACUAAAGAGGAGCUCGACAUUAGCGGCGAAGGUGAUAUAAAGAUCGGAAUUUGCCUCUCCGAUGAUAGUGCAAUGAAGAUGUGUGUGGGGUAAAAAAAAAUUUAUUGCUUAUUUUAUUAUUAUUACGUGUGAUUUAUUUACCAAAAUUAUAAAUUUUGUUAUAUCAAUACCUAUAUCUAUUUUAUAUUUUAUAUUUGUGUUUAUUUAAGUCCUAUAUCAAAUCAAAAAAUUUAAAUUUUUAUUUUAUUUAUAUUUUAUAUUCUAUAGUAUCAUUUUGCCGCAAUGCGCGGGUAACUUCACUAGUAUGAAAUUAACUCAUGAUAUUAUUAUUUACUUUUUUAUUAAUUAUUCAAUAUAAAUCUUUUCAUAAGUAAACUUUUCAAACCCACACUCCAUUUUUUUCCUAAUCAAAUUAUAUUUUAAUGAUCUCAACCA